GAUGAACGCUGGCGGCGUGCCUAACACAUGCAAGUCGAACGGGAACCUUACAGUGGAGACUUCGGUCAAAGCAGUAAGAAUUCUAGUGGCGGAUGGGUGAGUAACGCGUGGGUAACCUACCUACAAGAAUUGGAUAACAGCGAGAAAUUGUUGCUAAUACAAUAUAAGCUUACAGUAUCGCAUGAUACAGUGAGAAAAGAUUUAUCGCUUGUAGAUGGACCCGCGUUUGAUUAGCUAGUUGGUGGGGUAGAGGCCUACCAAAGCGACGAUCAAUAGCCGGCCUGAGAGGGUGAACGGCCACAUUGGGACUGAGACACGGCCCAAACUCC
rnacentral:rRNA from 1 species